AGGGAAACCGAGUCUUAACCGGGCGUUAAGUUGCAGGGUAUAGACCCGAAACCCGGUGAUCUAGCCAUGGGCAGGUUGAAGGUUGGGUAACACUAACUGGAGGACCGAACCGACUAAUGUUGAAAAAUUAGCGGAUGACUUGUGGCUGGGGGUGAAAGGCCAAUCAAACCGGGAGAUAGCUGGUUCUCCCCGAAAGCUAUUUAGGUAGCGCCUCGUGAACUCAUCUUCGGGGGUAGAGCACUGUUUCGGCUAGGGGGUCAUCCCGACUUACCAACCCGAUGCAAACUGCGAAUACCGAAGAAUGUUAUCACGGGAGACACACGGCGGGUGCUAACGUCCGUCGUGAAGAGGGAAACAACCCAGACCGCCAGCUAAGGUCCCAAAGUCACAGUUAAGUGGGAAACGAUGUGGGAAGGCUCAGACAGCCAGGAUGUUGGCUUAGAAGCAGCCAUCAUUUAAAGAAAGCGUAAUAGCUCACUGGUCGAGUCGGCCUGCGCGGAAGAUGUAACGGGGCUAAACUGUGCACCGAAGCUGCGGCAGCGACGCUUAUGCGUUGUUGGGUAGGGGAGCGUUCUGUAAGCCUGCGAAGGUGUCCUGUGAGGGAUGCUGGAGGUAUCAGAAGUGCGAAUGCUGACAUAAGUAACGAUAA
rnacentral:rRNA from 2 species